rnacentral:rRNA from 1 species
GACGAACGCUGGCGGCGUGCUUAACACAUGCAAGUCGAACGGAAAGGCCUGCUUUCCCUUGUGGAUUGCGGGUACUCGAGUGGCGAACGGGUGAGUAACACGUGAGUGAUCUGCCCCCAACUUGGGGAUAAGCCUGGGAAACUGGGUCUAAUUCCCGAUAGGACUGCAGGGGGGUGCCUGUGGUGGAAAACGAUUUUCUAGUGGUUGGGGAUGAGCUCGCGGCCUAUCAGCUUGUUGGUGGGGUAAUGGCCGACCAAGGCGGCGACGGGUAGCCGGCCUGAGAGGGUGGACGGCAACAUUGGGACUGAGAUACGGCCCAGACUCCUACGGGAGGCAGCAGUGGGGAAUAUUGCACAAUGGGCGGAAGCCUGAUGCAGCGACGCCGCGUGGGGGAUGACGGCCUUCGGGUUGUAAACUCCUUUCGACCGCGAGGAAGCCACCUGGUUGGAAGGGUGGUGACGGUAGUGGUAGAAGAAGCACCGGCUAACUACGUG